GUGGGGAAUAUUGGACAAUGGGCGCAAGCCUGAUCCAGCAAUGCCGCGUGGGUGAAGAAGGUCUUCGGAUCGUAAAGCCCUUUCGACAGGGACGAUGAUGACGGUACCUGUAGAAGAAGCCCCGGCUAACUUCGUGCCAGCAGCCGCGGUAAUACGAAGGGGGCUAGCGUUGCUCGGAAUUACUGGGCGUAAAGGGCGCGUAGGCGGCUUAGUCAGUCAGGCGUGAAAUUCCUGGGCUUAACCUGGGGGCUGCGUUUGAGACGGCUGAGCUAGAGGGUAGGAGAGGGUCGUGGAAUUCCCAGUGUAGAGGUGAAAUUCGUAGAUAUUGGGAAGAACACCGGUGGCGAAGGCGGCGACCUGGCCUAUUACUGACGCUGAGGCGCGACAGCGUGGGGAGCAAACAGGAUUAGAAACCCUGGUAGUCC
rnacentral:rRNA from 1 species